rnacentral:rRNA from 1 species
AGCGAACGCUGGCGGCAGGCCUAACACAUGCAAGUCGAACGGACCUUUCGGGGUUAGUGGCGGACGGGUGAGUAACACGUGGGAACGUGCCUUUAGGUUCGGAAUAGCUCCUGGAAACGGGUGGUAAUGCCGAAUGUGCCCUUCGGGGGAAAGAUUUAUCGCCUUUAGAGCGGCCCGCGUCUGAUUAGCUAGUUGGUUGAGGUAACGGCUCACCAAGGCGACGAUCAGUAGCUGGUCUGAGAGGAUGGCCAGCCACAUUGGGACUGAGACACGGCCCAAACUCCUACGGGAGGCAGCAGUGGGGAAUCUGGCGCAAUGGGCGAAAGCCUGACGCAGCCAUGCCGCGUGAAUGAUGAAGGUCUUAGGAUUGUAAAAUUCUUUCACCGGGGACGAUAAUGACGGUACCCGGAGAAGAAGCCCCGGCUAACUUCGU